rnacentral:rRNA from 1 species
CCGCAACGAGCGCAACCCUUAUCCUUAGUAGCCAGCAGUAAGAUGGGGACUCUAGGGAGACUGCCAGGGAUAACCUGGAGGAAGGUGGGGAUGACGUCAAAUCAUCAUGCCCCUUAUGAUUUGGGCUACACACGUGCUACAAUGGCGUAAACAAAGGGAAGCGAAGCCGCGAGGCGGAGCAAAUCCCAAAAAUAACGUCUCAGUUCGGAUUGCAGGCUGCAACUCGCCUGCAUGAAGCUGGAAUCGCUAGUAAUCGCGGAUCAGAAUGCCGCGGUGAAUACGUUCCCGGGUCUUGUACACACCGCCCGUCACACCAUGGGAGUCGAUAACGCCCGAAGUCAGUGACCCAACCGAAAGGAGGGAGCUGCCGAAGGCGGGAUUGAUAACUGGGGUGAAGUCGUAACAAGGUAACC